AUUUGGUUAUAUUUCGAAUUGUUAUUUUGAAAGAUUGGCCGGUUUGGGUGGUCUAUGGUGUGUUGUAUUAAUGUGAAUGUUGUAUAUGUGGAGGAAAAUGGUGAGAACAAGGGGAGGUGGUUCUCAAGUCGACCGCGUAUGACCAAUGCAUCAGUUAGAAGGAGAAAGCGCAAUGGUCCUUGAUAACUCUCGAUUUUGUCAUAAGUUUCUAGGAUAAUUGUAAUUUCAUGGGUUUUUUUUUUCUUUUAUUUUCUAUUCUCUGUUCAAAUUUGUUUUUUCUCUAUAAAAUUAGAGUUUUUAUGAAAAUAACAUAAAAAUGGCAUUUUUCAACUUACAUUUUUCUUGAAUCGUCUAACGACUGUUUUGAUCAUUUGAAGGAACAAUUUUCAAACUACUUUUGACCUUAGGAAUCUUGAAUGAAGAUGUUGAUGAAAUAAAGAGUGGAAACUAGAACUCAAAGACAAAAAAUUAUGUAAAAAUAGGCAACAAAAACUCAAAAGUCAACGAUCAAUUAGCACUACACGGUCUACACUAUGUUGAAUGAAGGAGCUAAAGUAGUUAAUAUAGUUUGAGAAUUUAUUUUAUGGGCUCGAUUUUGGUUAACACCAAAGCUCAUUCAUUUUGUAAAGUCUUAAAAUUCUAUAAAUAGAAAUUAGUGUGAUUUAGAUUAGAGAGACACAACACUAGUAGUAGUGAGUUAGAGAGGGAAGUAGAUUAGUUUAGUUUUCUAUUUUUGACGUUUCUAGCUCUAUAAAGAGUUCUUCAUUUUCUUCUCCAUUUUUCUCCAUCCAUUCUUCUUCCAUUUAUGUUAUAUGUUUUGUAGUUGUGUUCAAAGUUGAAUUCGGUUUUGGAAAUGGG
rnacentral:lncRNA from 1 species